rnacentral:rRNA from 1 species
UGUUUCGGCUAGGGGGUCAUCCCGACUUACCAACCCGAUGCAAACUACGAAUACCGAAGAAUGUUAUCACGGGAGACACACGGCGGGUGCUAACGUCCGUCGUGAAGAGGGAAACAACCCAGACCGCCAGCUAAGGUCCCAAAGUCAUGGUUAAGUGGGAAACGAUGUGGGAAGGCACAGACAGCCAGGAUGUUGGCUUAGAAGCAGCCAUCAUUUAAAGAAAGCGUAAUAGCUCACUGGUCGAGUCGGCCUGCGCGGAAGAUGUAACGGGGCUAAACCAUGCACCGAAGCUGCGGCAGCGACACUAUGUGUUGUUGGGUAGGGGAGCGUUCUGUAAGCCUGCGAAGGUGUGCUGUGAGGCAUGCUGGAGGUAUCAGAAGUGCGAAUGCUGACAUAAGUAACGAUAAAGCGGGUGAAAAGCCCGCUCGCCGGAAGACCAAGGGUUCCUGUCCAACGUUAAUCGGGGCAGGGUGAGUCGACCCCUAAGGCGAGGCCGAAAGGCGUAGUCGAUGGGAAACAGGUUAAUAUUCCUGUACU